UUUGCUGCCUCAUCUUUCUUUCUGUGUAGUUGUUCCAUGGCUUUUUCGAAGAAACUAGCUCACACAUUUGCUCUUUGUAAAUGAGCUGAGUCUCUCUGAGCAUGAUCAGCAACAUUUGAUUGGGAUUUUAAGGCCUAUCAGUUCCAUUCUUCAAAGGCUUGAGUCUGUUUGUCGUCAGUGUUCAGUUAAUUUAGGUGUACAGCACUUUUUAAGAUGUAAAUUGAAUCUUUGCAUACUUGCAGUAAUACUUACAAUUUGUAUAUUUUUAAUUGUGUUCAGCUAUUAUUAUUUAUAGUCACCUUUUGUUUGGGUUAUUAGUCAUCAAAUCCACAGGGGGAAAAAAGUCUUUUUGAAUUUUACCUGCACAUGACCAAAAGUGAUGAUGUCCCAACAUUUUAGUUUAGACAGCUGUAAGAAACUACGUGUGAGAAGAAAGAAACCCAAAGGUCCUUCAGCCAUCCUGGGUCAAUAUCAUCUUCCUCUUCCACUUCAUCACCUCUCUAUACUGCCGCAUGGAGAUCAGCUACUGGCUCCAAGAAGUUUCGGAAUAUAGUUGUCAGUCCAGAGAAUGUCUUAACACAUAUCCCAUGAGACAUGAGAACAAGCAAUGAAUGGAAAUUUAUACAAUGAAAAAUGCAAGGCACUGGUAAAUAUAUUCAGUCAUGAACUCUACUAAUAAUGCCUUCAUGGCUAUAGAUAAAUAUCCUCUCAAAAAAGCCAAAAUGGCACAUGCUGGAGCCAAAACAAUCCUCCAAGAAAACAAAGCACUUUUUCUCUCUCACACAUAUGUGAUGUAAAUACUAGUGUUGGGAAGUAACUACCUAAAAGUAGUGACACUAUAACUUUCACUACAUUUUACAGUAGUGUGAAAAUGCUUUAAAAAUAGUGUGGCUUUUUAACAAGCAUUUUUUUUUUUUCCAAAAGGAAUGUGAUAAAAUAUUACAUUGAUGUAUUUCUCACAUUGAGCACACAACUUUGCAACAGAGCCAAAAAAACUCGUUCUCAAAUAUUCAUUCAUUUUAAUGAGUCAG
ensembl:lncRNA